rnacentral:hammerhead_ribozyme from 1 species
AUCUAGCUGACGAGUCCCAACUAGGACGAAACGCACAUCCUAGAU